rnacentral:rRNA from 1 species
GACGAACGCUGGCGGCGUGCUUAACACAUGCAAGUCGAACGGAAAGGCCCGGCUUUUGUGGGGUGCUCGAGUGGCGAACGGGUGAGUAACACGUGAGUAACCUGCCCUUUACUUUGGGAUAACUUCAGGAAACUGGGGCUAAUACCGGAUAGGAGCUCCUGCUGCAUGGUGGGGGUUGGAAAGUUUCGGCGGUUGGGGAUGGACUCGCGGCUUAUCAGCUUGUUGGUGGGGUAGUGGCUUACCAAGGCUUUGACGGGUAGCCGGCCUGAGAGGGUGACCGGCCACAUUGGGACUGAGAUACGGCCCAGACUCCUACGGGAGGCAGCAGUGGGGAAUAUUGCACAAUGGGCGGAAGCCUGAUGCAGCAACGCCGCGUGCGGGAUGACGGCCUUCGGGUUGUAAACCGCUUUCGCCUGUGACGAAGCGUGAGUGACGGUAAUGGGUAAAGAAGCACCGGCUAACUACGUG